GCCGCUUUCGUCUAGUGGCUUAGGACGUCACCCUCUCACGGUGGAAACACGGGUUCAAUUCCCGUAAGCGGUA
rnacentral:tRNA from 1 species